UACAUGGGGUGCAAACGUUGCUCGGAAUCAUUGGGCGUAAAGCGCGCGUAGGCGGUUACUUAAGUCGAAUGUGAAAGCCCUCGGCUUAACUGAGGAAGUGCAUCCGAAACUGAGUAGCUAGAGUACGAAAGAGGGUCGCGGAAUUCCCGGUGUAGAGGUGAAAUUCGUAGAUAUCGGGAGGAACACCGGUGGCGCAGGCGGCGACCUGGGUCGAGACUGACGCUGAGGCGCGAAAGCGUGGGGAGCAAACAGG
rnacentral:rRNA from 1 species